AUCCAGUUGACGAGUCCCAAAUAGGACGAAACGUGCAUCCUGGAU
rnacentral:hammerhead_ribozyme from 1 species